GACGAACGCUGGCGGCGUGCUUAACACAUGCAAGUCGAACGGAAAGGCCCUGCUUUUGUGGGGUGCUCGAGUGGCGAACGGGUGAGUAACACGUGAGUAACCUGCCCUUGACUUUGGGAUAACUUCAGGAAACUGGGGCUAAUACCGGAUAGGAGCUCCUGCUGCAUGGUGGGGGUUGGAAAGUUUCGGCGGUUGGGGAUGGACUCGCGGCUUAUCAGCUUGUUGGUGGUGUAGUGGCUUACCAAGGCUUUGACGGGUAGCCGGCCUGAGAGGGUGACCGGCCACAUUGGGACUGAGAUACGGCCCAGACUCCUACGGGAGGUAGCAGUGGGGAAUAUUGCACAAUGGGCGGAAGCCUGAUGCAGCAACGCCGCGUGCGGGAUGACGGCCUUCGGGUUGUAAACCGCUUUCGCCUGUGACGAAGCGUGAGUGACGGUAAUGGGUAAAGAAGCACCGGCUAACUACGUG
rnacentral:rRNA from 1 species